AAAAGAAAAAAGAAAAAAAAGUGCGCCUCCUUCCCUUCACAAAAACCCUAAAUAAGUAGAGGGAGGACAAGAUGAUAGUCACAAGUGAGAGAGAGAGAGAGAUGGAAGAGGGAGACGACUACAAGUUUCUGUAAAUAAAGGAGGCCGUUUCUGCUAUUAACUAGCAAAAGGCAAUCUAAUCGGCGUCGUUCUCGAGUUCGGAUUAAAACUCACAAUGAUGGUGUCUAUUCUCUUUUCAAUAAAAAGUUCUCUUCCUUUCUUUAUAUGAAGGAAAAAAUGGUGAUGACUUCGUAACUUAUCGAUGUUCUUCAAUAUUUCGCCCAAGGAACCACAACUUGAAGUUUAUAGCAGGCCUGAGAAAGUUUAUACCAGGCUUCUAGAUUAAGCAGUUCAACAGCUAAACAGCUACUGGUUUAUGUGCUGGCAUUGUUUAAUGCAUUGUGUAUGUAUUCUCAUCAAUGUAGAUUAGGAUUCCCAAAUUUAGGAUUCUAACACUGAACUGAGCUGUAUGUAUAUGUAAAUAGCUAGGUAUGUUUACCAUCAUUACGUAACUUGACUAGGGUUUGUAAUGCUGGGUGGAGCUACUCCGACUCUGAGCCAGUAAAGUGUUUUGUUCUUUGGCAUAAACAACUCACCAAAAGUAGCACCUACCUUCAUCCUCAUGAAAAUAUAAUUAUUGAGUUUCUAUAAAGAUCAAGUACCAAAUGAACAAAUGUUGGAUUCUGAAA